rnacentral:misc_RNA from 1 species
UCUCCGUUGGUGAACCAGCGGAGGGAUCAUUACAGUGGUCGUUACGCCCAAACCAUGUGAACACAUACCUCUCGUUGCCUCGGCGGGCGCUGUGGCGCUGGGCCUCGUGCCUAGACCGCAGUGUCCAGCCCGCCGGUGGCCCCCCAGACUCAGUCGCCUAGCUGUACUCUCGAGUCAUAUCAAAUAAGUCAAAACUUUCAACAACGGAUCUCUUGGUUCUGGCAUCGAUGAAGAACGCAGC